GGGAAUGUGGCUUAGGAGUAGAGUGCUUGCCUAGCAUGCAUGAAGCCCCAGGUUCAAUUCCUCGGUUCCA
rnacentral:tRNA from 1 species